ACUCCUACGGGAGGCAGCAGUGAGGAAUAUUGGACAAUGGGCGAGGGCCUGAUCCAGCCAUGCCGCGUGCAGGAAGAAUGCCCUAUGGGUAGUAAACUGCUUUUAUACGGGAAGAAAUAGGGCAGCGCGUGCCCGCUUGAUCGGUGACCGUAAGAAUAAGGACCGGCUAACUCCGUGCCAGCAGCCGCGGUAAUACGGAGGGUCCGAGCGUUAUCCGGAAUCAUUGGGUUUAAAGGGUCCGUAGGCGGGCCGUUAAGUCAGGGUGAAAGUCUGCGGCUCAACCGUAGAAAUGCCUUUGAUACUGGCGGUCUUGAGUUAUGGCGAAGUGGGCGGAAUAUGUAGUGUAGCGGUGAAAUGCAUAGAUAUUACAUAGAACACCGAUUGCGAAGGCAGCCCACUAGCCAUGGACUGACGCUGAUGGACGAAAGCGUGGGGAGCGAACAGGAUUAGAUACCCUGGUAGGUC
rnacentral:rRNA from 1 species